GGACUACUCGGGUAUCUAAUCCUGUUUGCUCCCCUUGCUCUCGCGCCUCAGCGUCAGGUAUAAACUAGAAAACCGCUUUCGCCACCGGUGUUCUUCCACAUAUCCACGCAUUUCACCGCUACAUGUGGAAUUCCGUUUUCUCCGUCUACCCUCGUUAGACUUGUAGUUUCAAAUGCAGCUCCAAAAUUGAGUCUUGGAAUUUCACAUCUGACUUACAAAUCCGCCUACGCGCCCUUUACGCCCAAUAAUUCCGAUUAAUGCUUGCACCCUCCGUAUUACCGCGGCUGCUGGCAC
rnacentral:rRNA from 1 species